GUGGUAACCGCAGUUACUAUGUCAAGACCCUUCUUUGCAGCUAGGAAAGCAGCAUUCUGCAAGCAGAAGUUUUGAAGGGAUUAAAUUGCUGAAUAAGAUGAAAGCAAGAAAGGCAAUAAGGGGUUUCUUGGGAACAAAUUACCAUUACCCAAAGGGCUUACCAAUUGAGCUGACAUGAGAAAGAUUUACUGUUAAUGAGGAAUCCUAGAAGCUUACUCGAAGAAACAUUAUGCGAAUGUACAUAUGCAAGAGUGCAACAAAGAAAGAAAAAGCUUACGCCGCAAUGUCUGAAUUUCAGUCCAUGUGAGAUCAAAUGAAAAGAUUCCAGCAGCCGGUUGGAUUUCAGGGAUAGUGCUAGAUCUCGAAACAAAGGUAGUCAUUGCUGUUGUAUCUCCUGUAAGGUCUGCACUGUCCAUACAGAAAGCUACUCCGUCCUUUGACAUUUGAACUGUGCAAUCUAUAAUGUCAGCACCAUCAUCUAAUGCUCGUUGAUAAGCAAGAUCGGUGCAGCCAGCAUAUACUCCACUUGCUCCAUUGUAGGUUAUUAUCAGAGGUCCAUCUGAAGCAUUUUCUUCAAGUGUCAAAUGGUUUUUUCUUAUACUGCUAACUUUGAUACAGUAAUUUGCACUGAAUAUUAGAAAUCUUACCCUUUCUUGGCAUGCUAACGUCACUGAAAUUUGCAAAGCAUGCUGCAUUACAAGGAUCAUAAGGAGGGUCAGAAAAGUAGGUAGAACACAUGAACCCUUUCGUAGAGAUGUUAUAUAGAGAAAUUGCAGAACCAAUUGCUGAUCUUACCUAGAGCUGCUGAUGCUGUAGAAGGGAAAUCUGUGAUCAUUCCAUCAAUAGCAAACUGUUUAUUAUCUAUGAAUUGCAAAUAUUCAGCUGCUGGGUCAUAGAAAUAAUCAAAGACUGUAACAUAGUCAUUUGCGAAACCAGAAGCAUAUACUUCUAGACCAAGUUUAUGAGCAUCUAGGACGAGACUAGUUGCAUUCUUCUCCAAAUAGUUGGCUUUGGUUACAGGCCAUAUGUAAUCUUUUGGGACUGCAAUUCCUGAUGCAAAUGACUUGAUUGUGGCAAGAUUUUGCAGAAUUGAACCGUAGGUUUGGUUGGUUGUGGGUUCAAUAGCAUUUUUGUCGAGGAAAACAAAGAUGAGCUUGGUCCUUCUGCUCACUUUUCCAUUCAAUGACUUCAAGAAACCAAUCUCAGGACUUGAAAUGUAGUCGACACGACGAAAUGCCCUUUCCGUUUGAAUAUAUGAUGCCACAUUCAGUUUGUGUUCAGUAUAGAAUUUGUCAUACUGCAGAGAAUGAGAGUACAGGAGAAAGCAAAAUGCAUUAGCAACAGAUCUAUAAAUUAGGACAAGAAAAACAAGGAUACUGUUGUCUGAAAAUUACCUGAACAUUUAUCCAGUAGGAAUGAAAUUUACCAUGUAAAACAUCAUCAACAGGGGUCACAGGAAGUUGGUUGUCAAAGUCACUUGGUCGAGCUAAUAUACUUUGCAUAACUGGUGAAUAUCAAUAACGAAUUAGUCCAUUUAAGGAAGACAGGCACUUUUUUUUUUAUUCCUGAAGAAGUAAUAUAGUUCUUAGAUUCACCUGUUACAUUGCUCAAAAGCUCCUCGAAUGUAAAAUCUACGGAAAACCACCCAGUAACAUCCUUCCCAUUAACAUUGUAGGUUUUUGAAUUGUUUGGAUAGACCAUAUCUAUAUUUGUUGUGUUGUUGAUCCUUACAUCUGGUUGGCAUAUUCCUUUUCCAUCUUUUGUUAGUUGUAAAUUGCAGAGCAUAACCACAUUGGAUACGCUUGAAAGUGUCAUGUCAAUUGCAAAGUCAGUGGAUUCAGGAAAAACCCCGGAAAACCCACCACGAGCAACCACAAGAGGUGGCUGACCUGCCAUACACAAUGAAAAUGUUGUUGUUAAUGAAACUUAAUAGGUAUGAUUUACAAGUAUUCAA